rnacentral:rRNA from 1 species
GUAACGCGUACGAAACCUACCUUUAAGAGAGGAAUAGCCCUGGGAAACUGGGAGUAAUGCCUCAUAGUAUUCAUUUACCGCAUGGUUUAUGGAUUAAAGCUACGGCGCUUAAAGAUGGUCGUGCGUCUGAUUAGCUAGUUGGUAGGGUAACGGCCUACCAAGGCUACGAUCAGUAGGGGGCGUGAGAGCGUGGCCCCCCACACGGGUACUGAGACACGGACCCGACUCCUACGGGAGGCAGCAGUAAGGAAUAUUGGGCAAUGGACGCAAGUCUGACCCAGCCAUCCCGCGUGCAGGACGAAUGCCCUAUGGGUUGUAAACUGCUUUUGUUUGGGAAGAAAUGUAUUCUUUUAAGAGUAUUUGACGGUACCAGACGAAUAAGCACCGGCUAACUCCGUGCCAGCAGCCGCGGUAAUACGGAGGGUGCAAGCGUUAUCCGGAAUCACUGGGUUUAAAGGGUGCGUAGGCGGCCAGAUAAGUCAGAGGUGAAAGUUUCCGGCUCAACCGGGAGAUUGCCUUUGAUACUGUUUGGCUUGAAUCAGAUUGAGGUUGGCGGAAUGUGACAUGUAGCGGUGAAAUGCAUAGAUAUGUCAUAGAACAUCGAUUGCGAAGGCAGCUGGCUGGAUCUGUAUUGACGCUGAGGCA